GACGAACGCUGGCGGCGUGCUUAACACAUGCAAGUCGAACGGAAAGGCCCUGCUUGCAGGGUACUCGAGUGGCGAACGGGUGAGUAACACGUGGGUGAUCUGCCCUGCACUUCGGGAUAAGCCUGGGAAACUGGGUCUAAUACCGGAUAGGAGCCAUUUUUAGUGUGAUGGUUGGAAAGUUUUUUCGGUGUAGGAUGAGCUCGCGGCCUAUCAGCUUGUUGGUGGGGUAAUGGCCUACCAAGGCGGCGACGGGUAGCCGGCCUGAGAGGGUGGACGGCCAUAGUGGGACUGAGAUACGGCCCAGACUCCUACGGGAGGCAGCAGUGGGGAAGAUUGCACAAUGGGCGCAAGCCUGAUGCAGCGACGCCGCGUGGGGGAUGACGGCCUUCGGGUUGUAAACUCCUUUCGCUAGGGACGAAGCUUUUUGUGACGGUACCUAGAUAAGAAGCACCGGCUAACUACGUG
rnacentral:rRNA from 1 species